rnacentral:lncRNA from 1 species
UGGUGUUCUAAAAACACCUUCCCUCUGAAGGGAGGGCAGUGAGGGAAUUUUAAGGUUUAGGGGGAUGACACGUCAGUAAAGCUCCAGGAAAGGGGUGAAGAUUUCCAGGGGCAGCUGGGCCCACACAGUCUUCCAAGCUUCUUUGCACACGGCACUAGUUUUGACACUUUCUAACUGCUCUGUGAUGGGAUGAUCAGUAAAUGAAUUCUCCUAACAUGUUAAUUACCUAUUUACAUUCUUUCCACAAGUAUAAUAUCUUAACACAGUGAAAAUGCACACUUCAUCCUAAAAAGCUGGAAGGGAUGUUGUUGGCGAUGGGUUCCAUCCAGUGCUAAUGCUAGGUGUCUCUUUUAUGCUAUUUACUCUGAUUCUUUGGACAAGCGGUUUAAGGCAGAGAUGUGAGGCUGGUUAAUUCAACUUGGAGGUGUUGAAGGAACCCAUUCUGUGAAAGUUAGCCUAUAGCUACUGAAUCAGGGGCCUGAAUCCACCCAGGAGGUGAGAUUCUCUAAGACAAAGCAGACUGAAAGUGUGGGAGGGGAACAGAUUUGGGGACUGAUUUUUUUUGGCUGUCAUACAUAAGAGGAUUUUAUUUCUGGAGUCCAAUUUCUUUCUCAGCACUCACUCUGAGGGGAUUCAUAUUGUCGAAAUUUGGUGCAUGUUUGUAUUGCUGCUGAAGGAUCUGGGGAUUAAAAGACGUCCGUUUUGUUCCUUGUUUCCUUCUGGGGAGCUGUUCCAGCACAGCCUGGCACCAUGUGAGAUGGAAACAGCAUCCCCCAGGGAGAGUCUAGGUUAUUUUUAAGAAGACAGCAGAGAAAGAGGGAGAAGAAGGCUGCAAACCAAGAGGCUUCUGAAAGAAAGGAGCUCCAAGGAAGAUUGUGCACAGCUUCAGCAUCUUCUAGUUGUGGUGAGUUGGGAUUCCCCGUGUUUCUUCAUUCUUCUUCUUCUAGAUAAAACAUGGGGAAGAAUGUCAACAACUGGCCUCUUUCUACAGAAAGAUG